rnacentral:rRNA from 1 species
CACUCCUGCGGGAGGCAGCAGUGGGGAAUUUUGAACCAUGGGCGAAAGCCUGAUCCAGCAAUGCCGCGUGAGUGAAGAAGGCCUUCGGGUUGUAAAGCUCUUUUGUCAGGGAAGAAACGGUGAGAGCUAAUAUCUUUUGCUAAUGACGGUACCUGAAGAAUAAGCACCGGCUAACUACGUGCCAGCAGCCGCGGUAAUACGUAGGGUGCAAGCGUUAAUCGGAAUUACUGGGCGUAAAGCGUGCGCAGGCGGUUUUGUAAGUCUGAUGUGAAAUCCCCGGGCUCAACCUGGGAAUUGCAUUGGAGACUGCAAGGCUAGAAUCUGGCAGAGGGGGGUAGAAUUCCACGUGUAGCAGUGAAAUGCGUAGAUAUGUGGAGGAACACCGAUGGCGAAGGCAGCCCCCUGGGUCAAGAUUGACGCUCAUGCACGAAAGCGUGGGGAGCAAACAGGAUUAGAAACCCUAGUAGUCCCAUG